UAUCAAGUACCUAUAUUUUUACUUCAGUAUCCCCAUACUGUCGACUCGAGACUCAUCUACCCAUAAAGGAAAGCAAUCUUGCAUCGAUUUAUUCAGAUUAGUCACCAUCCCCAUGACGAUCUAUUGAUUGGGAGUAUUUAAGAAUUAACCACUAAUGACACAUGCCAUAAAUUCUUAACUCUUAAGAAUACAUGUCAUCAUCCAUUAAUUUCUUAGAUGAUUCAUGGACAC
rnacentral:lncRNA from 1 species